rnacentral:rRNA from 1 species
CCUACGGGUGGCUGCAGUGGGGAAUUUUGGACAAUGGGCGCAAGCCUGAUCCAGCCAUGCCGCGUGCGGGAAGAAGGCCUUCGGGUUGUAAACCGCUUUUGUCAGGGAAGAAACGGCUCUUUCUAAUACAGAGAGCUAAUGACGGUACCUGAAGAAUAAGCACCGGCUAACUACGUGCCAGCAGCCGCGGUAAUACGUAGGGUGCAAGCGUUAAUCGGAAUUACUGGGCGUAAAGCGUGCGCAGGCGGCUUUGCAAGACAGAUGUGAAAUCCCCG